rnacentral:lncRNA from 1 species
CACCACUGAACACCUCCGCGCGAGAGUUUCCCUGCUGCCGUCCUUCUUCCCUUGCCUCUGCUGCUGCUCUUGCUUGCGCCCCUGUGCUGCUGCCUUUCUUCUCCCCUUGCUACUGCUCCCCUUUUCUAGCGCCUCAACCUGCUGCUCCUUCUCCUUCGCCUGCUGCUAGUCCCUUUCCCCAUGCCUCUGCUGCUCCUCCUCUUAAAACUGCUGCUGCUCUUCUUCCCCACGUUCCUGCUCUGCACUCUGCUUCUCACCUCCGUUGCUGCUGUUUCUCUUCUGAACCUCUGCUACUGUUCAGCUCUGAACCUCUGCAUCUGUGUUGAAUGUGCUUUCAGUGUUCUUGACAUGUGUAAAACUGUUCAAUAUUCAGCUUACAAUUUGUGAAACUUUUGUGAUACAGUGAUGUCUCUAUGUUAUACAUAUAGCUUGUGUACUGCUUGCUGCAGUAAAUUUCAGUUUGUAAGUUCCUGUGAUAGCUCCAGUACAUGUGACUUUUAUGUUGUCUCAAGUUCCUGUUAUAUAUAUACAUAUGUGUGUGUCUGUGAUCUGAAACAUUUAUGUUCUAUCCUACAACCUUAUUGUGUUAGCAUUUUAUUUCUCAUGUAAAACGAAAAUACCAAAAAUAUUAUUGAAGAUAAUCUGAACCUCCUUUGCCCUUUUUGCAUUUUCUUUGGUGACGAUCUUUGGGUACAACCUUGUUUAGUGUAGGUUUAUUUUCUUGCAUUCAUAAUCUGAAUUGUGUUACCUAGCUUUAGCCAACCACCGUCAUUGAUUUGCCUAGUCCCUCAUGAGAACACGACACUCAUAGUUUGGGGCGUAAAAACCCCGCUAUAUUACAAUUGAUCAUUUUGGCGCCGUUGCCGGGGACUAGCGUCGAGCGAUUGUGCGAAGCUAUAGACUAGGCUUAGUAUAGUUUUUGUUUAAAUUUCCAGUCAAAUUUAUUUCUGUGUUUCUUUUACCUUUUUACUAUUUGUUGCUUCGGCUUAUUAGGAUACUAACCCUCUCACCAAUGUUUCAUGUUUGUGAGCGUGUGUAGGAUAUCUUAUUAUUUGUAGGCUGAUUGAUAGUUGCACUUGAACAUAUGGCUUUAGUACGUGAUCUUUGGUUGCCAAGUAGUUUGGACACGAUGACAGGGCCAAUUUGGCCAUCUAUUGAGGCCAAAAAUUUUGAGUUGAGGCCUGGACUUAUUGCUCUCGUCUUGCAGAAUCAGUUUAGAGGAUUACCCAAUGAAGACCCUCAUGAGCACAUUAGUAAUGUUCUGGAGUAUGCCAAUACAGUCUAGUAUCAUGGCGUUUCCCAAGAUGCUAUCAAGUGUAUGUUGUUCACAUUCUCUCUCAGAGAUGCUGCUAAGGACUGGUACUAUUCUUUUCCAUCAAGAUCAUACACUUGGGGUGAUAUUUCACAAGCUUUCCUGCAUAGAUAUUUUCCACUUUACAAGCAAGCUGCAAUUCGUGACCAGAUCCUCAGUUCUGCGCAAGAUGGUAGUGAGAGCUUGUAUGCAGCUUGGGAGAGAUAUAAGUAUUUGCUUAGAAAAUGUCCUAAUCAUGGGCAAAAGGAUUGGUUAGUGCUUCAGAUAUUCUAUAGAGGGAUGACACAUGCUUCAAGAGAUCUUAUUGAUAUGUCAACUGGUGGAACAAUCAUGAACAAGACCGUCGAGGGUGCAAUUAUUCUCAUUGAGAGCAUUGCCUUCCACCAAAUUCAAUGGGGUUAUGAAAGGCCUAGUUCAAAUCCGAAGGUUGCAAGCCUCGUGCAAUCAAAAGUUGUGUGUUCCAUAAGUGAACAGAAAUCAUCCAUGGUGCCUAAUAUUCAAAACCAGCAUGUUUCAUUCCGGGGACAACAACAUUUCAGAACUGAAUUAAAUCCUCCAUAUAGAACGAUUGAUCUUACUUCAAUUAUCCUUGAUGAUGAUUAUGAUAUUUUUCAAGAUGAUGAAACUACUGUAGAUCAGAUGGAAACCACAGUAGCAGAUCCAAUACCUCAUGGCAAUGAAACUGUCCAGAAUGAGUCAAAGCUGCAAGAAGAUGUUUAUGAGGAACCUACUCUGAUUGAUGCUAAGUUGAGACAGCAAGAUAUGGAGAUAUUCACUUGUGUUAGUCAACUAUGUGACUGGUGGAAUUUAGUCGUGUCACCAAUUGCCCACACUUGUGUUACAACGGUAUCUGGGCUAUUUGUCAAGAAGAAAUCAUUAGCUCCACCGGUGGUUGCCUCUAUCACAGUUAAAGAGAGUAUCUCAGAGAAGAAUAGUGAAGAUGAUAUUCCAACUCCUGCACAUACAACUAAGCAAGUCGGAGCCAUUCCAAGGAGAGAGAUACAAGAGGUUGAGUCAAAUUUAGAAGAGUUGAUACUUCAAUAUCCUGAGAAGAUCCCACGUGUUGCUGAGCUGCAUGACUGGUGGAAGUCAUCAGUGUCACUGUGGAGACUUAGUAGUGAUGGUGAUGAGGAGAACAUUGCUCAGAAAGACAACGAGGUAGUGAUCUCAGCACCCCUACCAGAUCAUGUUAGUGAAUAUUCACAUAUGGGGACACUUCAGACUCAAUUAAGUGUUGCUGGUAGUAGCACCAUAGAAGAUCCAGAGGAAGAGAGUCCUCAACUUGAAGAAGAUUUACAAGAAGACAAGGAACAAGAUGAUCAAGAGCUGCAAUUUCCAAGUGAUCAAGUUGAAGACUCAUCAUCUACUACUCCUGAAGAAGUACAAGAUGCUGCUAUAGAUGAAGAUGAAGAACCUGAGAUUCAUUGGCCUAUUGUCAUACAUGAGCGCGAUGUGUCAGGUUUACCCAAUCCUCUUGAUGACAUGCUCCCUUGUGACUUCUUUGCUUCUAACUUGCAUUGCAUGAUGCCAUCACUUAAGGUAGAUUUGAAAAACUAUUUGCUUGGACAUGAUCAUACACACCCUGUUAGUGGCAUUACUCUCAUUUGUGAUGAUCACAGUUACUUUCCUCGUGCUAGUUCUAUGCUUAAUGAAACAUAUCAUUCCCAUGUUAGUCUUGAGCUUAAUGAUAAAUAUCAUCCUCAUGUUAGCAUUGAGCUUACUGAUUUGUACCGUCCUAAACAUGUGCUUUAUAGCUAUGCUUAUGUAAUUGGGUACUCUAUAGAUGAUUUAGAGGGCAUUACCCUUGUCACUUGUAUUGUUUCCCUGGUUGAGUGCUCUUUCAGGUUGUUGCUUGUGCACGAUCCACUACAUGCUGACCAAGUUCGAGAUGACAUUCCCUGGGACCCCGGUGGACCCAUGGCAUGGGGAUGAGGAGAAGCAAGGAGCACACAUGAAGAGAGAAGCUGGAGCAGGCAUGAGGAUAGAGAAGCAAAAAGAGAAGAGCUGCAGCUUAGAGAGUGAUCAAGCGAGUGCUACUUCAUAGUGCCCGGUUAGCUGUUUCAUGACCCAUUCUGAGUAUAUCAUCCAUUGAUGCUUGCUGAAUUAAAUUGCUAUUUGGGUUGCUUGUGCCAUUUAUUAAAUGUUGUCCCACUGAAUUUCACCUUUGACAUAUGGUGCUUGAUGAGAAUAUGCGAACUAAUUGUUGAACGCCUUGUAACUAGUGAUCUACACCCUGUUUGCACUGCUGAAAGUAGUGAAAGCUAUUAGUUCUGAGUGCUCAAAUCCCUAGUACACUAGAAAACUAAAUCAUUUUCUGCAUUUACUAUGAUACACCUAGAUCACCAUGUUUAGAUGCUGAAUUUGUGCCAAGUGUGUUCCCAUUGAGAGCAAUCACCUAACCACUAUGGAAUAGCAUGCUAUGUUCCCUGGAUCGGUAGCAUGUGAACCAGACAUGGAGAAGUGAUGAUUCCUAUUUUUGUGCUUAUGCAUUGUUCAUUUAAGAUAAGUAAUAAUGAAUAAAUUAGUCUGACUACCUACAGUAGCAUGUCAUGUUCUUGGGAUCGGUGGCAUGUGAAAUCGGGUUAGCUUGGGCAGUAAUUAUUAUAAAAAUGUAAUUGUCGAACCAGGUGUAUACCAUGUUCUCGGGAUCGGUGGUAUGUUCCUUUGGGGAGACAAACAAGAAAACUAUAUAAUUGGUCGAGCCGGGUGUAUACCAUGUUCUCGGGAUCGGUGGUAUGUUCCUUUGGUGAGAUCAAUAAAAUAUUAUCAUUACUUCCUUCAAAUUCAAUAAGUGGUUCAACCACAAAGUUAUAUUUCUGCAAAUAAGAGAUUUAAUUCCAGUUCUUUUUGUUCUCGGGAUCAUGCUCUCUUUAGGAAUCAUUUGGCGCAAUCAUCAUUUAAACUUGUUGGUCCUCUUUUAUCAUUGUAAAAGUUUAAAAUGGUCAUGCUUACCAGUAUCCUACUGCUUUGUAGCACUCUUAACCAUCAAUUUUCACUAGCUAAGUCCAAAAGCAUGCAUUGUUUAGAGAUCUACUUCACUUGGACAUUCUUUACUCAGUUCACUGUUCACAUUCUUGCUCUUGUCAUAUGCCUUUACUUGAGGACAAGCAAAGAUUUAAGUGUGGGGGAACUUGAUAAGUAUAUUUCACAUAUAUAAUUUUGGUACUCAAAUAUAGCUUCUAUCGUGACAUAUUCGUCCAUUCUUGCCAUGAUUGAUUGAAUAUUGCUUGAUAAUCAUCAAAGAGGAUCAUUUACUAGUCUUUGGUCUAUCUUGCAGAAAUGUGCGCAAAGGCACUAAUAAUCGUCAAGAUUCCGUCUAUGUGGCUAUCGUGAAGAGUGAAGAAGAGAAGAGAAGGAAGAAGAGACUUGUGUGAGAUGAAGAGAAGUAACCAGGGGGCUAGGUAAAGAAGUGGGAGGACCUUCUUGUGAAGAAAGAAGAGAAGAAAGAGGGCCAAAUCACAAAGUGCAGAUGAGAGGAGGGGAACAAAAUCUAGGCGCUGGAGGGAUCCGAUCGGGCCUGGCCAUAUCUCCAUCUCUCUUCUCCCCCACCACUUCUUCCACCUCAGGCCGCCGCCACGGCCAGGCCGGCGUGGUGGUGUGCCUCUGCAGCCCAGCCACCACCAUCUCCAUCCAUCUCCGCUGCGGCACCAUCCACAUCAGCGCCGCUGCGCCAUCCAUCACCAGCACCAACACCCAGCGCCACCUAGCACCUCCACACGCUCCACACCGCCACCAUCUAUCACCACCGCACCACUGAACACCUCCGUGCGAGAGUUUCCCUGCUGCCGUCCUUCUUCCCUUGCCUCUGUAGCUGCUCUUUCUUGCGCCCCUGUGCUGCUGCCUUUCUUCUCCCCUUGCUACUGCUCCCCUUUUCUAGCGCCUCAACCUGCUGCUGCUUCUCCUUCGCCUGCUGCUAGUCCCUUUCCCCACGCCUCUGCUGCUCCUCCUCUUAAAACUGCUACUGCUCUUCUUUCCCACGUUCCUGCUCUGCACUCUGCUUCUCACCUCCGUUGCUGCUGUUUCUCUUCUGAACCUCUGCUACUGUUCAACUCUGAACCUCUGCAUCUGUGUUGAAUGUGCUUUCAGUGUUCUUGAGAUGUGUAAAACUGUUCAAUAUUCAGCUUACAAUUUGUGAAACUUUUGUGAUUCAGCGGUGUCUCUAUGUUAUACAUAUAGAUUGUGUAUUGCUCGCUGCAGUAAAUUUCAGUUUGUAAGUUCCUGUGAUAGCUCUAGUACAUGUGACUUUUAUGUUGUCUCAAGUUCCUGUUAUAUAUAUACAUAUGUGUGUGUCUGUGAUGUGAUACAUUUAUGUUCUGUCCUACAACCUUAUUGUGUUAGCAUUUUAUUUCUCAUGUAAAACGAAAAUACCAAAAAUAUUAUUGAAGAUAAUCUGAACCUCCUUUGCCC